UUGAACAUACUUUCAGGGAUCAUUUCUAUAGUUUAUUACCAGAAUAUUCUCAAUGUUGUUACUUCUACAAUUCAAGCAGGAGAGAAGUGGUCAAUAGAAUAGGAGGGACAUGAAGAGGUGGUAAGGAUUGAG
rnacentral:snoRNA from 1 species